CAGGUGCCUUAAUUUAUUAAUGCCAGAAGAAGAGAGAGAUUCAAUAACAGCAACAACAAAAAAGGGAUUCCUGGCAGCAACCGUAUAUCAAAGUCAUUGCUUAUCCAGUUACCUUGCUAAGUACUGGAUGAUUGCUUCCGCAGGAGUGAGUCUGUGCAAAUGCAUGAUUUAUUUGAUUUGCAUGCUGAGCUAAAUGAAGAUUCAGUUUGGACUAUACCAAAUGUGAUUUUUUUUCAUUUAAAAAAAUUAUUAUUAUUGCUGAAAUGAAAAGGAAAUACAUUUUGAGUUUAACAAAGCCUAUACUGAAACUUCUCCAAUAGCGCUUGGAGGCACUUGCAUGGGAGACUGCAAUUCAAAGCCCUGCUUACCACAGGGGAUUUCCUCUCCCAUAUCCACCUUUCCAGGUGAGAGACCCUCUUCUUCCAGCCGUCUCCAGAAGUGGGGGUCCCUGCCACCCUAUUUGAAUAGGCUGAGUGAGGUAAGAACAUAUCAACGGAGCAGCAAGUUUGGUCUCAUACUGGGGUGCAGGACUGAGCCCCUGUGCCCUGCUCAGGGCCCCUGCGAUGAACAUCACUCUCAGGCACACCAAGCAGUACAGUCGGAAUAGACUCAGUUUAUUGCUAGCGAAUAGGGUUAAAGACAUCAUCUCUUCCCAAAAGGUAGAUGUCACCUUGCAGCACUGAUACAUUGCUCUAGGAAGGUACAAGGCCAAGCAGGUCUGAUYUGAUACUUAAUGAGAGAUCAUGAAUGUGCCAUUAGGAAGACACAGUUCUGGCUGAAUGUCAUCUUGCACGAUCCCAUAUCUGCAUAUCAGGAAUGUAUCUUAUCCUAGAAUGGAAUUCCUGACAGCUUCAGUCUGAUCUUAAUGCAGCUGUGAUUGAAACCAGUUGGAAGGCUCCCAUGAGUUUCAAAUAUGCAAAGGUUCAUCUAAAUCCCUGGGGUUUAUGCAGCAAGAAGGUUGCAGCGCCAUUGCCAUUGUGAAUGAAUCUGAGCACUGACCCCACACUGUCUUUGCAGAGAAAUAAUUCCCAGUGGAGACUCUGGCACAGGAAAUGAUUUAUUCUAGCCUCACACAGGGUACUAAUCCCUUAGGAAACAUUAGACUGCAAUAUCCCAUAGCUUGUCUUGCUUUCUGAGUCUUCAUAGCUGAGCUGAAAAUCUCAGGACAGGUGCUCUUGUGAGACUUCGAGUAUUUUAUAUCUUGCUGUAGUGGGAAGUGUUAGGAGAAGAGCCUGGUGUUGGGCCGGACCUAGAAAACCUCAGUCAUGAAGAUCAGAAGUAAUGGGACAAGCACCAUCAAACUGCUCAUGUUGACAAGUCCUGGAGAUAUGCCAGGUAUCAUUCCAAGAGUUUCAUGACUGAUUUGCAAAUGUGUUUUUGUGUUGUUGUUGUUGUUGUUUUUCUUUUCCAUGUAAAGCAGCAAAAAGAAGAGGGCAAAAUUCUCAGCUUGUACAAACAUAGAAUUCCCCCGGGACCCUUGGGCACUAGCUAAAGUUCUGUUGUGAGUUUUUACCUAAACUACUUUGUGCAUAGUACAAUCAAACAUAUUUGUUAUUUUAACUAGCUUGUAGCUGAGUAGCUACUCAGUGCAUUUAAGAACUCCUCAGACUUGUGAACUGUGUCUAGCAGUGAUUUCUGCCCUUUCCUUUCUGUCUCUUCUUUCACAGAAGGCAAUUCUUUCUUCAACAGCCCCAAGGUUUCCAUUUGAAACUCUGGUGCUUAUGUCCAGCUAAAUUCUGUCUCUGCAAUACUAGACAAUGCUGUGUUGACAGCUGCACUGCAGAGUUCAACUUCAAAUACACCCCUUCUGUGGCCCAUCCAAGUAUUUGGCUUAAAAAACGAAUAAAUGGGAACACAGAUCCA
ensembl:lncRNA